rnacentral:lncRNA from 1 species
GUGCAGUUGUGUAGAUUGCAGUGUGUGCUGGGAAGUUCUCCUCAGAGAGCUUUGGGUGCAGAAUUGCCUGCAGGGAAGGCUGUGCCAAAUCCUCCUGUGCUGGAGCCCCGCAGGCAUCCCAGGGUGGCUGUUGUCUUUAUUGACUUCCCCGAAAAGACCGCUCGGUUCGAGGCUUUGUUUCUCUGAGAUUUCUCUUCAUGCUUUCUGUUAAGGUCCUGGAGGAUGGAAGGUGGCAUGGGAAGAUGGAAAAUAUUCCAAGAGACUGUCCCGUUUACUAAGGGCAAUCCUGAAGAAGGCAGCACGGGGAUGGGGAUUGCUGUCUGUGCUCACAGAGGGAAAGUGUGCAGCCCUUCAGUUUGUCUCACGGAACGGCACGCAGUUGGGACUAGGAAUGAGAGGCAGAUGGAGAGCCUGUGCACAGGGUGCAUUUCAGCAAGGCAGCCGUCUCACACUGCCCGUCCAGCCGGGAGCGACAGAGGCCACGCAAACAGCUGGUGCUGCAGAACAACAUUCAGCAGCAGAUGAGGGGAGGAAAUAGGACCCACCAACGUACCUCCUGCCCAGAGUCCCUGUAUUCCAGAGCUUGAGGCGCCUUCCUUGAGGCACCAGGCACAACAGCAUCCUGGAGCUGGAUCCGUCCUGUGGCAGUUCUUGUCCAUG